CAGUCGUACCGACGAGAAAUCAACCUUUUGAGUGCGAACUUGUGGGCGUGCGUGAGUCUUUAACGGGCCUCGCUGUUUGCAAUGUUUGUCCUUUUGGGGUGUACUUUUUCGUAUGGUAGGCCAACGUCAGUCUCGGUCACCAUAAAAUGGUCAGAGGAAUGUAGCUUCGAUCUUGUAUUGAAGUGUUAUAGCCUCUGGUAGAUGUGGUGAACGAAACUGAGGAUUGCAACGAAUACCCUUCGGGCUAUCCGUCUGACCUCUGAAAAUUGCUUGGGUGCCGAAAGCUUGCUUUACGGUCAUUCAUGAUGACGGUCAAAAGGUUAGAACGUGAUUACA
rnacentral:rRNA from 1 species